AUCGGACUUUGUCGUCGAGACUCGAUCGGAAGAACCCAGCUGCCUAAAUUAUAAUGCCAGUGGAACUCAAAACAGAAAAGAUACUUGUAUGCAAGACAUGAAGAAAAGAGCAGAAUACAGCCUCUAUAUACCAUUCCUUGGUGCCUCCUUAAGGGAAUUGAUGUUUUUUUCGGGAUAACCAUGCAGGAAUAAAGGUUAACUCAGUAUAAAGUCUUGCUGACAUGAACAUGAUAAUCACAAGAAAGUGAAUAUAUUUCAUCACCUUAAGCAAUCUUCAAAAUACCAGAUUGGAAAAAGAAAGAAGAUUUGUAGCAUUGUAUUGAAUAUGCCUGAUUAAAAGUGUUAAUGGAU